GAUGAACGCUGGCGGCGUGCCUAAUACAUGCAAGUCGAGCGAACAGACGAGGAGCUUGCUCCUCUGACGUUAGCGGCGGACGGGUGAGUAACACGUGGAUAACCUACCUAUAAGACUGGGAUAACUUCGGGAAACCGGAGCUAAUACCGGAUAAUAUAUUGAACCGCAUGGUUCAAUAGUGAAAGACGGUUUUGCUGUCACUUAUAGAUUGAUCCGCGCCGCAUUAGCUGGUUGGUAAGGUAACGGCUUACCAAGGCAACGAUGCGUAGCCGACCUGAGAGGGUGAUCGGCCACACUGGAACUGAGACACGGUCCAGACUCUUACGGGAGGCAGCUGCUGGGAAUCUUCCGCUAUGCGCCAAAGCCUGACGGAGCAACGCCGCGUGAGUGAUGAAGGUCUUCGGAUCGUAAAACGCUGUUAUUAGGGAAGAACAAAUGUGUAAGUAACUAUGCACGUCUUGACGGUUCCUAACCAGAAAGCCACGGCUAACUUCGUG
rnacentral:rRNA from 1 species